rnacentral:lncRNA from 1 species
AAAACUUGAUAGCCAUCGUUUAGGCAGUCCAGACUAUUCUGGCACCUCCCUUAACAGUGCCGCAGCCUGCUCAAGCUGUCUCUAUAUCUCCUUCAGUGGUGCAACUGGUGGCUUUCUCAAUGGCACCAUCGGUGCCUCCCACGAUGGUACCCCCAUCGAAUUCGAUUUCACACUCAGCUCCUAAGCCGCCACCACAGUCAGAGCCGCGUGUGCCUCCUCAGAGCCCGAAGAGGAGACA